rnacentral:lncRNA from 1 species
GCUGUUACAGGUGGCGGGCCCAAGCUCCUCACCCUGGAGCCCCAGAGAAGGCAACCAUUUGCCUCCCACUCAGGUGCGUGAAAUUCAUGCUGACUGGGUAGAGAUGCCCAGUCAUCUUCCGCUAUCGGGAAGGGAAGUCUCGGGGGGAAAAGAUGCAAAAGACUUACAAAUGAUAAGCUCUUCUUAAGGUUAUGUUUAAUUCGAUGUGCUCAAGCUUCUGUUCUUGGUGCUGAAUAUUCAUGUUUAGUGAGGAGUCCCAGAGGCUUCCCAACAGUGUCAUUUUCUGCAAUUUCAAAGUGAAGAGAAAUGUGCUUUUUGCUGAUAAUGUACCUGAGGAGUGAUGAAGAGAUUUAUUUAGUAUAUCUGAAGUAGAGGUUGGGAAGCUGAAUGUUGCACAAGUUCCACAAAUGAUUCUGAUGGCAGCGAGCUGUUUGAACCACUGCUGUAGACAAUAAAGGAAAACAGAUGUCCAGAGUGUGCUAAUUACUAGUAGUGGAAAGUUUCCUAUGCAGACAAAUCAGGAAUUCAGGAGGCUAACCCCUGGAACUUUUAGCCACCACUUAGCCACGUGCCUUUAGAAAAGAAGCAAUCCCCAGAGGUUUGUCUGUGGAUGACA